AGACCCGAAACCCGGUGAUCUAGCCAUGGGCAGGUUGAAGGUUGGGUAACACUAACUGGAGGACCGAACCGACUAAUGUUGAAAAAUUAGCGGAUGACCUGUGGCUGGGGGUGAAAGGCCAAUCAAACCGGGAGAUAGCUGGUUCUCCCCGAAAGCUAUUUAGGUAGCGCCUCGUGAAUUCAUCUCCGGGGGUAGAGCACUGUUUCGGCUAGGGGGCCAUCCCGGCUUACCAACCCGAUGCAAACUGCGAAUACCGGAGAAUGUUAUCACGGGAGACACACGGCGGGUGCUAACGUCCGUCGUGAAGAGGGAAACAACCCAGACCGCCAGCUAAGGUCCCAAAGUCAUGGUUAAGUGGGAAACGAUGUGGGAAGGCCCAGACAGCCAGGAUGUUGGCUUAGAAGCAGCCAUCAUUUAAAGAAAGCGUAAUAGCUCACUGGUCGAGUCGGCCUGCGCGGAAGAUGUAACGGGGCUAAACCAUGCACCGAAGCUGCGGCAGCGACACUAUGUGUUGUUGGGUAGGGGAGCGUUCUGUAAGCCUGCGAAGGUGGCCUGUGAGGGUUGCUGGAGGUAUCAGAAGUGCGAAUGCUGACAUAAGUAACGAUAAAGCGGGUGAAAAGCCCGCUCGCCGGAAGACCAAGGGUUCCUGUCCAACGUUAAUCGGGGCAGGGUGAGUCGACCCCUAAGGCGAGGCCGAAAGGCGUAGUCGAUGGGAAACGGGUUAAUAUUCCCGUACUUGGUGUUACUGCGAAGGGGGGACGGAGAAGGCUAUGUUGGCCGGGCGACGGUUGUCCCGGUUUAAGCGUGUAGGUGUGUGUUCCAGGUAAAUCCGGUUCACUUUAACACUGAGGCGUGACGACGAGGCACUACGGUGCUGAAGCAACAAAUGCCCUGCUUCCAGGAAAAGCCUCUAAGCAUCAGGUAACAUCAAAUCGUACCCCAAACCGACACAGGUGGUCAGGUAGAGAAUACCAAGGCGCUUGAGAGAACUCGGGUGAAGGAACUAGGCAAAAUGGUGCCGUAACUUCGGGAGAAGGCACGCUGACACGUAGGUGA
rnacentral:rRNA from 1 species